AGGAUGAACGCUGGCGGCGUGCUUAACACAUGCAAGUCGAACGAUGACCCCGUGCUUGCACGGGUGAUUAGUGGCGAACGGGUGAGUAACACGUGAGUAACCUGCCCCUGACUUCGGGAUAAGCCUGGGAAACUGGGUCUAAUACCGGAUAUGCACCGUGGACCGCAUGGUCCUUGGUGGAAAGACUUGUUGGUCAGGGAUGGACUCGCGGCCUAUCAGCUUGUUGGUGAGGUAAUGGCUCACCAAGGCGACGACGGGUAGCCGGCCUGAGAGGGUGACCGGCCACACUGGGACUGAGACACGGCCCAGACUCCUACGGGAGGCAGCAGUGGGGAAUAUUGCACAAUGGGCGAAAGCCUGAUGCAGCGACGCCGCGUGAGGGAUGACGGCCUUCGGGUUGUAAACCUCUUUCAGUAGGGAAGAAGCGAAAGUGACGGUACCUGCAGAAGAAGCGCCGGCUAACUACGUGCCAGC
rnacentral:rRNA from 1 species